rnacentral:rRNA from 1 species
UAAAACCAGCUCUCCGAGUGGUAGGGACGAUUAUUGGGCUUAAAGCGUCCGUAGCCAGCCCGGUAAGUCUCUCGUCAAAUCCAGCGACCUAAUCGUUGGGCUGCGGGAGAUACUGUUGGGCUAGGGGGCGGGAGAGGCCGACGGUAUUCUCGGGGUAGGGGUGAAAUCCUAUAAUCCCGGGAGGACCACCAGUGGCGAAGGCGGUCGGCUAGAACGCGCUCGACGGUGAUGGACGAAAGCUGGGGGAGCGAACCGGAUUAGAUACCCGGGUAGUCCCAGCUGUAAACGAUGCGGGCUAGGUGUUGGGGGGGCUACGAGCCUCUUCAGUGCCGCAACGAAGGCAUUAAGCCCGCCGCCUGGGGAGUACGGCCGCAAGGCUG